rnacentral:rRNA from 1 species
GACAGAGGGUGCAAACGUUGUUCGGAAUUACUGGGCGUAAAGCGCGUGUAGGCGGCUUGGCAAGUCGGGUGUGAAAGCCCCGGGCUCAACCUGGGAAGUGCACUCGAAACUGCUUGGCUUGAGUACUGGAGAGGGAAGCGGAAUUCUCGGUGUAGAGGUGAAAUUCGUAGAUAUCGAGAGGAACACCGGUGGCGAAGGCGGCUUCCUGGACAGUUACUGACGCUGAGACGCGAAGGCGUGGGGAGCAAACAGG